ACCUUAUUUAGAUGUUGAUGAUGGGGUAUGUGGAGAGUUGUUAUUAUACUUUAUUUAUGUUACUUCAGAGUAAAUCAAAGUAUCCAAUUCUGAGCAUGUUAUUGAUUUCUUAUUAUCAUUCCUUUAGGUUUUCCAUUUACUGAUCUUGAAUUAUAUAGAAUUUGAUUAGUAAAUAUGUGUUAGUUCUUUAUUUGAAUCAUAUCUUUUAUUUUUAAAAAUGGAUUCACUUUACCAUUUUAACUUCUUUAAUUCAACCUUACAGGAUAUCAGUUUUAGUGACUUAUUUUCAUUUUGUUUUCGUUUGCCUUAUGUUUUUGUCCAUUGCUUUAAUUUAAAUUUCUGUAUAUUAAACUGUGUUGUGGUAAUUGGAUUUUAUCAGCUUCCUUAUUCCUUGUUUUUUUUUUUUCAAAUUUUGAUGUAUCUCUUAGUUGGCUGGAUUUUGUCAUCAGAUAAUUAUUUUAAGAAGAGCUGUAGAUGCAACAUUCUCUGAGUUUUUGUGUCUUUAAAUAUUUAUAUAUUUUUAAAUAUCUGGACAACAGCUAGACUGGUUAUAUAACAUUAUUGGAUUAUUUCUCCCCACCCUUGGAACUCUAAAUUCAUGACUCUACAAUCUUCUAAGGCUGACUGCACUAUGGAGAAAUCUAAAUAACUUUUUUCCUUGUAAUUAGUGUAUAUUCAGUCCACAGAUUUUUGUCUUCAUUAAUUUCCAGCAAAUUCCCUUUAAUGUAUCAUUGAAUAUUUUUUCUCCUUUAGGUUUUCUAUCCUUCCCUUCCAGAGUUUAUUAGUAUCAUUUGUCUCUCUUUCAUAGUUGUCACUUUUUCCCUACUUAUUUCAUUUAUUUGUCCUUCUCCAAUUCAUAUUGAAUAAUUUUGUAAGCCUGUCUCCAUAUAUUCACUUUUUAUACCAGUAACAUUUAGUCUACUUUUGUCUUUAAAAUGUGUUUUUAAAAUAAUGUGGAAUACUUUAUUUAAAUUUAAAAAUUCAUAGUGAGUACACCAAUAGUUGAUAAAAUUGGGUUGGGGUACAUGGGUUGUUCAUUAUGCUCUAUAUUUUUUCUGUAUCUUUGGUUUCCUUUUUAAAAUGGACUUUAUUUUUUAGUCCAUUUAGCAGUUUUAAGUUCACAGCAAAAUUUAGAGGAAAGUACAGAGUGUUCCCAUGUAUCCUGUGCCUCCACAUACCCACAGCCUCCUCCACUACCAACAUCUUCCACCAAAGUAGAUCAGUGGACUAGUCCAAGAACAUCUUUCCCAUGGAGAUAGUGAAAGUACAAGCAGUGAAGUCAAAUCACACAAGCACCUUUUCAAACUUCUGCUGUGUCACAUCAGCUAACAUUGCAUUUGCUAAAAUUAUAAUCAAUGGGUAGGGAAAUUUAUUCCACCUUUUGAUGGAAGAAACUGUAAAGUUAUAUGGCAAGGAUACAGGAAGGAGCAGAAAAUUGGGGCCAUCAAUGCAGUCUAUCUCAUGAACAGAUAUGCUAAACAAACAUAUAUGACUUCAUUUGGUAAGUGUUUGCUUUAGAAGAAAAGGACCAUAUCGUAAUUUGUUUGCAUCUUGCUGUUCUUAGGGACACCUCAGAGAAGUACCUGUAUGUCAUCUUAUUUUUCUCUGAUUCAGUUUUUAAAUGGCUGCAUAUUUUUCCAUCUUAAAAAUCUGCUAUAAUUAUUUAACUAUUUUUCUCUUGAUGGGUAUUAAGUUUGUUUUAUUUUUUGGUUACUCAUUUUGAACAGUGUAGAAAAAAUCUUUUCAAGAUUUUUUUGGUCAGAGAUAUGUAUAUUGUUAACUUUAAUAGAAAUUUCCAAGUUACUUUUCAAAUAAGGCUGUGAUUCUUCACUUGUACCAGCAAUUUAUGACAUUUUCUCCUACAUUGUUGCCAAGAAAUGGUAGCAUUAUUCUUUAUUAAUCUUUACCACUUUGUUAUAUGUAAAGUGACCAUUGUUUAUUCCCUUUUCAUUUCUCUACCUACUCAUAAAUUUGAGCAUCUUUUCAUAUAAUUUUGCCAUUUGAAUUGCACUUCUAAUACUAGUCUGUUUAUAUUCUUUUGUCAGUUUUCUACUGAGUUUUUAAGUCUUUCUUGUCAAUUUGUAAGAGCUCUUUUGUACACAUUAUAUAUGUCUUUUUCUAUGGGUUAAAAUAUAUUUCCAAAUAUUUCUAUAUUGACUUUGUUUAUGGUACCCUUGUCAGGCAAAAAUUUGUUUGAGGCCAUUUUUACUGGUUAAAUAUUUAUUUAAUUAAAUGGUUCUAGAAAUACCGCUAUUCCAGCUAAGCAGGUAUGAUCUUCAGGAUGUUGCAUGGGGGAGGGAUUCAUCUCUUAACACUGCCUGGAGCUUCCUUCAAAUCCUCAAU